rnacentral:rRNA from 1 species
AAUCAACGCUGGCGGCGUGCCUCAGACAUGCAAGUCGAACGAUUAAAGCUCUCUUCGGAGAGUGCAUAGAGUGGCGCACGGGUGAGUAACACGUAAGUAAUCUACCUUCGAGUGGGGAAUAACGUCCGGAAACGGACGCUAAUACCGCAUAAUGCAGCGGCAUCGCAAGAUGACAGUUGUUAAAGAUUUAUCGCUUGAAGAGGAGCUUGCGGCAGAUUAGCCAGUUGGUAAGGUAAUGGCUUACCAAGGCUACGAUCUGUAACCGGUCUUAGAGGACGGUCGGUCACACUGACACUGAAUAACGGGUCAGACUCCUACGGGAGGCAGCAGUCGGGAAUUUUGGGCAAUGGGCGAAAGCCUGACCCAGCAACGCCGCGUGAAGGAUGAAGUAUUUCGGUAUGUAAACUUCGAAAGAAUGGGAAGAAUCAAUGACGGUACCAUUUAUAAGGUCCGGCUAACUACGUGCCAGCCGCCGCCGUAA